rnacentral:rRNA from 1 species
UACGAAGGGGGCGAGCGUUGUUCGGAUUUACUGGGCGUAAAGGGCGCGCAGGCGGCUAUCCAAGUCAGGCGUGAAAGCCCCGGGCUUAACUGGGGAACUGCGUCUGAUACUGGCGAGCUUGAGUGCAGGAGAGGAACGCGGAAUUCCAGGUGUAGCGGUGAAAUGCGUAGAUAUCAGGAGGAACACCGGUGGCGAAGGCGGUUCUCUGGGAAUGUCCUGACGCUGAGGAGCGAAAGUGUGGGGAGCGAACAGG